UCUUAUUUCCCGUUAGUUACUUGGUUUCUUCCUCACAACAUUUUCCCUCCCAAAUUAAAAGCCCUAGCCUUCUCCAUUCUUCGCCGCUGCCGUCUACCUCCAUUCCUUCGCCGCUACCGUCCACCACCCUACCUCCUCAGUCGCGCCGCCCUUCCCACUGUCGCUUUUGUCGUUGUCACCGCCGCGCGCCGCUGUCGCUGCUGGCCUGCUGCUCUGCUUCGAGAUCGAAGAUGGAUUUUGGUUGAGAUUUUUUCCUGAUAAGGCUGCUUCGUAGGCUCAGGAAAUAGUUAACGAGCUCAUUCAGGAAUUAAAAAUAAGGCCAUGCCCCAUCAUAUUUGCAUCUUUUUCUGGUGGGCCAAAAGCUUGUAUGUAUAAGGUUCUUCAGAUAAUCGAAGGGCAGCGUGAAGAGCAAAUCAACCAGAUAUGAGUACUAGAUCCCAUCGUGGCCGUCUUGGAGGAUCUAGCAGUGCAGCAUCAUCCCGUGCAUCAUCGACAUUGCAAGCAUCGGCUUCAGAUGUAGAGUUAGAGCAAACAGUAUCUGAUGCACUCUCAAACAAUGACGAAAGGAUUUGGAGAGCUGCAGCAGCAGCUUCAAGAUGAGCGCGAGCAUAGACUUCGAUUGGAGGAGUCACUUCAGUUAACUAAUUAGAUGCUCCAACAGUUCAUGAGGUCCCAACAGUCGAGGAGUAGUGGCUCAGGAGAUUCUUAGCUUUCGUGUAGUAUAUUUAGUACAUUUUGAUACAUUAUUAAGAUAUUUCGCUUAGAUGUAGUUUAUUUAGUACUUUUUAUGUUAUUAUGAUAUUUACAUAUAAAUAUAUUGUUGGAUAUUGAACAAUGUCGAAUGAAUUUUAAAUUAUGUUUAGA